rnacentral:siRNA from 1 species
AUCCACACAUUUUUUGCAUACUGC